rnacentral:rRNA from 1 species
UACGUAGGGUGCAAGCGUUGUCCGGAAUUAUUGGGCGUAAAGAGCUCGUAGGCGGUCUGUCGCGUCUGCUGUGAAAACUCAGGGCUUAACCCUGAGCUUGCAGUGGGUACGGGCAGACUAGAGUGCGGUAGGGGAGACUGGAAUUCCUGGUGUAGCGGUGAAAUGCGCAGAUAUCAGGAGGAACACCGGUGGCGAAGGCGGUUCUCUGGGCCUGUACUGACGCUUGGAGGCGCGGAAAGCGUGGGGAGCGAACAGG